AUUGAACGCUGGCGGCAUGCCUUACACAUGCAAGUCGAACGGCAGCACGGGAGCAAUCCUGGUGGCGAGUGGCGAACGGGUGAGUAAUAUAUCGGAACGUGCCCAGUCGUGGGGGAUAACGCAGCGAAAGCUGUGCUAAUACCGCAUACAAUCUAUGGAUGGAAGCGGGGGAUCGCAAGACCUCGCGCGAUUGGAGCGGCCGAUAUCAGAUUAGCUAGUUGGUGAGGUAAAGGCUCACCAAGGCGACGAUCUGUAGCUGGUCUGAGAGGACGACCAGCCACACUGGAACUGAGACACGGUCCAGACUCCUACGGGAGGCAGCAGUGGGGAAUUUUGGACAAUGGGCGAAAGCCUGAUCCAGCAAUGCCGCGUGCAGGAUGAAGGCCUUCGGGUUGUAAACUGCUUUUGUACGGAACGAAACGGUGAGCUCUAAUACAGUUUGCUAAUGACGGUACCGUAAGAAUAAGCACCGGCUAACUACGUGCCAGCAGCCGCAGUAAAAC
rnacentral:rRNA from 1 species